UUGCCGCGGUGACGGGUGGGUCCGUGGGGGUCCCCGCGCGGGGCGGGGCUAGGGCUGUCCCUGGUCCCCGGCGUCUCCUUGGUCUGGGUCUCCGCCUCCCGGACCUGCGGCAGCGGUGAGGUCCGGAGAGCGGCUUCCCCGCGGGCGGGCGGCGCGAUGGGUUGCGGGAACUCCACGGCCACCAGCGGGGGCGCGGGCCGAGGUCCAACAGGAGCAGUUAAAGAUGCGACAGAAGACUCCAUAACGGACGACGACAAGAGGAGAAACUAUGGCGGCGUGUAUGUUGGCCUGCCCUCCGAAGCUGCCAGCAUGGUGUCUAGUCAAGCCAAGACAGUACGGAAAAAUUAGAGGAAGAAAACAGGAUGACUGGAUACUCAAGAGAACCCAGACUCCAGCAGACCAGAAACAAGAGGUCUUUGAUGCUGAAGCAACCUCUUUUCUGGGCUUGCUCAUGAAUUUGGAAGGAAUUUGGCUCCAGGGACAUUGUAUCUUCAAAAAAUUCUGAAAGGUUGCCCCCUGCUAUAACAGCUCCCCCAAAUCCUAAGUGUGUUACUUAAGUCUUGGGUACUGGAUGUUGUGGCUGUGGAAGAUAAAUGGCAAGACUUCAUGCUCACUGGGGGGACUUCAUGUCACCCACCAGCAAGAGAGCUGUAAAGGCUGUGGCUACCCAGCCUGGGCCACCAGGCAUCAUAGCGUUUCACAUCCUGGCCAUUUAACACAGUUCACAGAAAUCAUGUCUUUUCACUGAUACUCUUUUGAUAGUUUUUAUAUAGCGCAAUCCUUAUUGUAUUUAUAAAAUGAUCUUAGGGCCUCGUAAAGGGAUGAUCUGAAGUGAUAUAUUGCCUCGUCCUUGGAUGUUCUUACUUUGUUGUUUUCUAGCUGUGAAACUGGUAAAUAGAGUCUCUGAACCAUCUCCCUUUCUUACUAGCUGAUUUAAAAUUUUUAUUUAAAUGUAAGAGAAUUUCCUCUGUUGAGAUCAUCAUAGUAUUUGGAAAUGAACUAAGUUAAGUUUGCAUGCUAUCACACGUGUGAAUUAAAUUCCCACUUUCUUUAGUCUGAAGCUUACACGACUACAGAUGAUCUCCAUCUGCCCAAUUGUCCAUUCUCCCUGUGUGUAAUCAGCAUCUCACCGUGUUAAUUCCCUACUGUCUCAUAGGUCUUACGGUUGAUGUUUAGUGGGAUUUCUGUAAAGUUCCUGAUUUACUAACAACAUGUAUACCUACUUAUGACUGCUGUGACUCGGUUUACCAGUGUACUUCAACAAUUAAAUAUUUUUAUCCCCCUUUA